UACCCUCUUUGGUAAGAACUAAGACGGGCAGAACUGGCAACUUCACGACUGAACUACCCGAGCCGUAUCGCUCUCUGGCGGCGGAAGACCGAAGUUAUCGCGACGGAGGCAAGCCCAGCGACUCCCUGUCUAGUAGUUCGCGUGUUUUCGAUGAGUCAACUGAAGCGCGAUUUCAACUUGGCGCGUACCUUGUCAGUUGAGUGAAUCCGUGAAAAACAAGUGAUUUUCCAUCGAUUCUUAUCAAUCUGUGAUUGCGUUUAGUGAUAAGACCGGAGGAACCUAUCGGCCGAAUACAACGGUUUAUCUUGCGAGGAGCACGGUGGUACCCAGAGCUUUCGUGCUGGCUGCGUUUUAUGAUAUGUAAGAUUUUUUACGAGUAAACUGCGAGGGUUCGCGCAUGUAAUUUUUCCGGUUCGCGAAGUCUUUUCGUCGAAAACACUUUAAAACAUUGAACAAAUUUAGUGAAGUUAAGUUGGAAUUUCCAACCUGUCGUCGUGUGAAAGUGAUUUAAGUUUUUUGUGCAGUUAGUGACAUUGGAGGUGUGAUACAUGUGCUACUCGGAUUUGUUGGUGGCUCCAUUCCUUAAAAAUUGGUAAGUUACAAAAAAACGCAUACACCUAAGUAAGGAAAAAAUGUCUAGUGUCUCAAUGUCUACAUGUGAUCAUUUAAGGGAAAAGAGAACUUUGGUUUUUGUCCACUAAGUCCACACGAACUCAAAAUUGAGUUCUAUAUGUUCGAGCUCGAGGAAAUAUUUUACGACAUUUCGGGACAAAAACAAACGCCUCGCCCGCCCGCCCCAACAUUUUUAACUAAACCGGAUUAAGGGUAGUUUGAAAUUUGUAGUUUAAAUUACGUGUACUCACGAAAGAGCUACCUGCCAUGAGUUCUUUAAAUUCAAUCUACCAAUUUCCAACAAGUUACUAAAUUGCUGGAUUGUCUUGCAAUUUUAUGCCUUUUUUUUAGCACAAAAAUGAAACAAACAGCUUGCAAUUUCAUUUAUUAGGACACCAGAAAGAGUUCUCUGUCUAAAUCUGAAAAUCCGAUUUUCGAAUUCAACUGGACAAAAAUCGACCCACUGGUUUCAUUUCCGUU
rnacentral:lncRNA from 1 species